UUGCCCUGCGAAACCUCUGUAUAUGAAAAGUUGGCCCUCCAUGUACAUGGGUUUCCCAUCCUGUCACAGAAUUUUCCACACUCCUUGACAGAGGUGCUUAACCCUUAUCCAUCAGCAUUCUCAGACAGCACCUCCGGUUAGGGACAGUAUCUGACCGUCCGACAUCCCUGCAGCCCCCAUGUGUCACACAGACUCAGCCUCAGGUAGAUGGUUUCCGUAGAUGGUGGCUUUCUUUGGACCCUUGACAUCAACCAGUUACUAUUUGACUCUUCUGCAGAACCCCAUGUUGACCCCUGCUUUGAGGUGGCAGAGUUAACACUACUCUUCGUUAUAAGCUCUCGUCUGGGGCAACUCAGAAGAACGGGACCAGAUGUGCAGAGGUAAUGAAUACCAGGGAAUCAGGAAACCACUGGAUCAGUUCUUUGAGCCACAGAACAACACUCAUCCCAGCAGCUGGGAAGCUAUCUGCAAAAGUCCAUCUGCAGAAAGGGCUUCCUGGUCUUGCGUGUGGCUGGGCCAUUUCUCUGGAUGCAGGUUUUUCAUUAUACAGUCUUCUCAAAGAACCACCUGCUCUCAACACCUUCUCGGUGACUCCAUUUCCCCUCCUCU
rnacentral:lncRNA from 10 species